rnacentral:rRNA from 1 species
GAUGAACGCUGGCGGCGUGCCUAAUACAUGCAAGUCGAGCGAACAGACGAGGGUCUUGCUCCUCUGACGUUAGCGGCGGACGGGUGAUUAACACGUGGAUAACCUACCUAUAAGACUGGGAUAACUUCGGGAAACCGGAGCUAAUACCGGAUAAUAUAUUGAACCGCAUGGUUCAAUAGUGAAAGACGGUUUUGCUGUCACGUAUAGAUGGAUCCGCGCCGCAUUAGCUAGUUGGUAAGGUAACGGCUUACCAAGGCAACGAUGCGUAGCCGACCCGAGAGCGUGGUCCGCCAGCCUGGAAGUGAGACACGGCCCCGACUCCUACGGGAGGCAGCAGUCGGGACUCUUCCGCAAUGGGCGAGUGCCUGACGGAGCGAAGUCGCCUGAGUGAUGACGCUCUUCGGCUCGUAGAUCUCUGUUAUUAGGGAAGAACAAAUGUGUAAGUACCUAUGAACGUCUUGACGGUACCUAAUCAGAAAGCCACGGCUAACUACGUG